GCAAGAUCUGGUUCAUGACAUCUUUUAACCCUGGUCUGUCCAUAAGGAGGACAGAAUUGUUUCACAGCUUUUUCACUCUUUAUUUUAUUUUUGUUUUCCUCCAAUUCCCCGGUUUUCCUUGAUGCUUAUGGAGAUGGUAAAUCUCCAGAUAUAAACCAUAGGCAGUUUGUAAAACAAAAUAAUUAAAUAUUUAAUUAACUAUUUUUCAGAGCUCCAGUAUCUGCAAAACUGCAGUGCAUGCAGGAGUCCUUCCAGAUGAAAGUGGUGGUUUUGUGGACGUGAUGCCUGUAGAAAAGAAGAAAAUUUACGUUGGCUCCUUAAAGAAUGGAGUUCAGUCUGAGAGCUUGAAGAAUCCUUCAGAUGGAAACGCUUUCCGAAUUUUUGCUGUGAAGCCGUAAAUUCCCAGGGAAGGUGCAGGUUUCUUUGGGAGCAUGCUCUGUUGAUGUCCAGAGACAGGAAGGCUCCUCUGACAGCAUCAGCUCUGACUGUACCCUCCUUGCCGAUCUCUUUCAGGGAAUUAAAAAAGGGAAAAAAA